GCUAACUCAGAUUUGCUGAGUCAGCUUCUAAGCUAACAAACGUUGGAAGAAGUGAGCCUUCAGGGUUGUCCAGCUUUAUUUCUCCUCACAUACUAUCCUUUAGGCCUAUUAUCAAUUUCUUUAGUAUGUGAUAAGCCUCCGAUCAAUUCUCUAUGCACUGACAGAUUGUGUUUCUGGAUCUGCAAUACUGAAGACCAUGCUCUGGUCUAUGGUGACACAGGAAACUACUGCCACCUUUUGAGCAGCUGACCGUCCACCCAGCCACACUUUCUGACAUCUUUCCAUCAGGAAAUACUUGACACACAGUAUUUUCUUUUUUCUCAUUUUCUACAGGAUCUGAUUAAUUUAACAGUUUCCUUUGCCCUGUUUCAGUCAUGAGCCUUGAUGCUAUCUUUGACACCGUACUUAUCUCCUUUAUCUUUUUAAUUAUCAUUUUAAACAUCCUUGUUACUCAAUUUGUGUGUGUGCGGGUAAUAAGUAGUGUUCUCAAACAUUUUUCUAUUUACUCCCAAGAAUUGUUAGAAGCUGCUGAUAAUAGUUUCUGUCUUAAUUGUUUUUUGACCAUGGAAUUUGGUAGUAUGGCUGCAUUUGGAUGAUUCAUCCC
rnacentral:lncRNA from 10 species